rnacentral:rRNA from 1 species
UACGUAGGUGGCAAGCGUUGUCCGGAUUUACUGGGCGUAAAGGGCGGGUAGGCGGCCACCGCAAGUCAGUUGUGAAAUCUCUGGGCUUAACCCAGAAAGGUCAACUGAUACUGCGGGGCUAGAGUGCAGAAGGGGCAACUGGAAUUCUCGGUGUAGCGGUGAAAUGCGUAGAUAUCGAGAGGAACACCUGCGGCGAAGGCGGGUUGCUGGGCUGACACUGACGCUGAACUGCGAAAGCUAGGGGAGCGAACGGG